AGGGCAAGUCUGGUGCCAGCAGCCGCGGUAAUUCCAGCUCUCAAAAUGCAUAGAAUUAUUGCUGCGGUUAAAAAGCUCGUAGUUGGAUCUGUGCUAGCCGACUGGUCCGCCCGCUGGGUGUGCACUGGUUCGGUUGGCUUUUACUGUUGGUUUUUCCCGGCGUUGGCCUUCACCGGUCGGCGUCGGUGGGCUGACGAGUUUACUUUGAACAAAUCAGAGUGCUUCAAACAGGCGUUUCGCUUGAAUGUUCGUGCAUGGAAUAAUAGAAGAGGAUUUCGGUCCGAUUUUAUUGGUUUUGCUGACCGAGAUAAUGGUUAACAGAGACAAACGGGGCCAUUCGUAUUGCUACGUGAGAGGUGAAAUUCUUGGACCGUAGCAAGACGGACUACAGCGAAAGCAUUUGGCAAGAAUGUCUUCAUUAAUCAAGAACGAAAGUCAGAGGUUCGAAGGCGAUCAGAUACCGCCCUAGUUCUGACCGUAAACGAUGCCAACUAGCGAUCCGCCGGUGGAUUCAUUCGCCCUGGUGGGGAGCUUCCCGGAAACGAAAGUCUUCCGGUUCCGGGGGAAGUAUGGUUGCAAAGCUGAAA
rnacentral:rRNA from 1 species